AAUACCACGGGGGGCAGCAGUAGGGAAUCUUCCACAAUGGGCGGAAGCCUGAACCAGCCAAGUCGCGUGAGGGAAUAAGGCCCUACGGGUCGUAAACCUCUUUUGCCGGGGAGCAAGGGCCGGGACGAGUCCCGGUCCGGAGAGUACCCGGAGAAAAAGCAUCGGCUAACUCCGUGCCAGCAGCCGCGGUAAUACGGAGGAUGCGAGCGUUAUCCGGAUUUAUUGGGUUUAAAGGGUGCGUAGGCGGGCUUUUAAGUCAGCGGUAAAAAUUCGGGGCUCAACCCCGUCCGGCCGUUGAAACUGGG
rnacentral:rRNA from 1 species